rnacentral:rRNA from 1 species
GAUGAACGCUAGCUACAGGCUUAACACAUGCAAGUCGAGGGGCAGCAUGGAAGAAGCUUGCUUCUUCUGAUGGCGACCGGCGCACGGGUGCGUAACGCGUAUCAAACCUGCCUCAUACUCGGGGAUAGCCUUGCGAAAGUAAGAUUAAUACCCGAUGUUGUUAUGUUACCGCAUGGUGAUAUAACCAAAGAUUUAUCGGUAUGAGAUGGUGAUGCGUCCGAUUAGGUAGUAGGCGGGGUAACGGCCCACCUAGCCAUCGAUCGGUAGGGGUUCUGAGAGGAAGGUCCCCCACACUGGAACUGAGACACGGUCCAGACUCCUACGGGAGGCAGCAGUGAGGAAUAUUGGUCAAUGGACGGAAGUCUGAACCAGCCAAGUAGCGUGCAGGAUGACGGCCCUCCGGGUUGUAAACUGCUUUUAGUUGGGAAUAAAAAGAGGGACGUGUCCCUAAUUGUAUGUACCUUCAGAAAAAGGACCGGCUAAUUCCGUGCCAGCAGCCGCGGUAAUACGGAAGGUCCAGGCGUUAUCCGGAUUUAUUGGGUUUAAAGGGAGCGUAGGCGGAUUAUUAAGUCAGUGGUGAAAGACGGUGGCUCAACCAUCGUUAGCCAUUGAAACUGGUAGUCUUGAGUGCAGACAGGGAUGCUGGAACUCGUGGUGUAGCGGUGAAAUGCUUAGAUAUCACGAUGAACUCCGAUCGCGAAGGCAGGUGUCCGGGCUGCAACUGACGCUGAGGCUCGAAAGUGUGGGUAUCAAACAGG